GACUCAAACCCAGCUAUAGUUGCAUCUUUCGCACUCCGUCCACAAAAUCUUUCAACGUUAGUUCAAUUGAGUGAGAUGCCAAUAAAAUCAUGAUUUUCACAUAGCUUUCGCGGACACCUGUAGCGGAACGUGGGGGUGAAAAUGAUUAAUGUGUAAUUAGAUUUUCAAUGUAGCGAUAUAUAUGCUCAAGCUGGAUAAGUGGAACGAGCGAAGUAUUUGAGGUCAAAAUGACAUUUAUAUAAACGAAUUAAAAAAUGG